ensembl:snoRNA Gm24235 small nucleolar RNA SNORA17
CCUGCCCCAGGAAGAGUUGUAGGUGUGGCUGCUGUGUCACAUGAGUGCCAGUAGGUGGCAGAAAGCCGAGAAGCUAUGUCUAUUCUCAGUAUUCUUACCUAUGAACAUCUGAGUGAUGAGUAGUCUAACAUU